UAAGGAUCUGGGGCGGCCAGAGAGACAAGGAGAAAGGGGGACAGGCCCAUGACACAGUCCUCCUCUAAAGGGCGGCUCUGUGUCAGAAGGGGGCUCUGUGGCUCCUUGAGUGGUGGCCAUUCACUCACUCACUCUCCACUGAUGCACCCCCAACACACUCUGACUUCAGUUCAUCUGCCUGCCCAGGCAAGGGGCUGAGGGGGCCAUCAGGACCACUGGAGGACAACUUCCUCAUCAUGAGUGGGGACAGCCCAUGAGCCCAGGAAGCCGCAUCUAGGGCACAGGGAUAAGGAAUGCCUGUGGGGCUUUUCAGAGGUCUCCCCUGGAGCUAGCUCAGUGCCUGGUGUGCAUCUGAUGGGACCCCUCACCCAGGGCCUGGAGGGCACCUCCUGCGCCAAGGACAUCUAGAGCCCAGGUGUCGGGCUUUGAGGACCACCACGGUCAGUCUCUGUGCCACGGGCUGGUAAGACAGAGACACCUGGAGCUCCCCUCUGCUAAUGCACUUCUGGAAGAGGAAAGAGCUGAUGAAUGUCCAGGAUUGGGGAGCAGGGAGGGAACCGGAAGUGUGCAGAGCCAGGGAGGGGGCCUGCAGAAGCAUCCAGCAACUUGAGAGUGUCCUCCCCCCUCAUUUAACAGGGAAGGGAAUCUGACACGUUCUCAUUAUAAUCCUAAUAUUAAAUGAGACCAUCUGUAUGGAGAGGCCACCUCGCCUGGUAUUCCACAGACCCAGGCUGGAUGGCUCUGGAUUCCAGUCCUGUUGCCACUCUCUGCCUGUGUCACCUGGGACAAGAACUUGACGGCUCUAUGCUCCAGUUUCCUCAUCUGAAGGAUGGAUGUAAAAACGAUACCAACCUCAUAGUAUCAUCCAGAGGACUAAAUUAAAACCAGUAAACUUUGACCUGUGCUUGGGCCUAGAGAAGGGCAUUCUCACCUGUUGCCUCAUUUGGUUCUUGUGAUAAAAGCUUUAGAGACUGGAUGGUGGAAGGCAGGAAACUUGGGACUGAGCCUUCACUUUGCCACCUACUCAGCCCCUGGCUUUGGGCAGGUUCCUGAAUGUCCUAGCGACUGUUCCUCCAUGUUACAAGGUGAGUGCCCACACCUGCCCCACCUGCCUCCGUGGAUGCACCUGGGAGUAUCCUCUCCAGCCACACUGGCUUCCUCCCCUCUGCCUACAGAUUUCCAUUUGCUUCUUUGAAUUGUAUUCUAGGCUGUGCUUGGGAAUUGAAAAAACCCUCCCAACCUCCAAGGACAUUUUAAGCAAUGUUUGAUAUUUACUGCAUGCUAGGUGCUGGGGGUCCCAAGCUGAUAGACCUGGUUCCUUUCUUUUUCAUUUUUUCCCAUUUGUUCUCUCCCCCGCUCCCCUUUAAGUAAUCUCUACACCCCAUGUGAAGCUUGAACUCACAACCCUGAGAUCAAGAGUCAUGUGUUCCACUGACUGAGCCGGCCUGGCACCCAGGACCCAGUUCUCACUUCCAAGGAGCUUACCAUGCCCAGAAGAGACUGAGAUAAACAAACAUGCCCUCAUUGGAGCAGGAAGGAGUCUGUGUAGGGAUGAAGCUGUGAGAUGGAAACUGAAAGGAAGUGGGGUUCAAGGAAUAUUGGACAAAGGAAGGAAGGUUGGGACAAAACUCCCCUCACUACCAACUCUCACUCCUUGUAUUCUUCAAAGCACCAGAAAAAUGUCACCUACUUCAGGAAUUCUAAGCAAAGCCAGACUCUACCACCACCAGCCUUCCGUCUGCCUCGUACUCCCCCAAAUGGCCUACUGUGCGCCCACCGGGCCCGGUGUUCCAUCAGAAGUGGCGGCUAGAGAUGGGGACAAGGAGAGAGCCUGCUCUCUGGAAGCACACAGACUCCCUGUACCACUUGCUCAGGGAAGCCCAUGCAAGAGAAGGAAAUCAUCCAGUUAGCUCAUCAGUGAAAAACAAGGAAAGAAACCUCCAGGGGCCAGAAGUCCCAUGGGCCAUCUGCACUCAAAUCACAGCCAUGGGAAAACCAGAGGAACAAAACCUUACUCUUCAAAUACAUCCCUCAUCUCCCCGAAAUGGAAGCAGAGCUACUCUCUUCGUGGUGCUUCUCUUUCUCUUUCCAGUCCCUUUUGGCUCAAUUGCGUGACCUCUAGGUUCCUCAUAAAUCUGAGAUUUUAAGACUUCUGUGCUUCCCGUGACCAUUGUCCCCAGCCGUCCAUAGCAGAUGGGGCCCAGGAAGGACAGGAAGUGACCUGAAGAAAUUCAGGGGAAUCCACUCAUAAAGUACUUCUCUUCCCACUGUCUGUUCUUUCUCCUGGAGCCCUCUCUGGACUGUCUCCCUUCCCUGUGCAGGGGAUUUAUUAUGGAAAUGUAAAUUCAGUUCAAUUUUUAUCCCAGGCUCAUAGAUAUUUUUAUCCAUGCCUGGCUCGCUCAAUCAGAAGAGCAGAUGACUCCUGACCUUAGGGUUGUGAGUUCAAGCUCCACGUUGGGUGGAUAGCUUACUUAAAAAAAAAAUGUCUAUCUGAACAAAAUAUUAGAAAAAAAACCUGCCACUUAAAAAAAAAAAGCGGGCAGCCCCAGUGGCGCAGUGGUUUGGUGCUGCCUGCAGCCCAGGGCGUGAUCCUGGAGACCCGGGGUUGAGUCCCACAUCGGGCUCCCUGCAUAGAGCCUGCUUCUCUCUCUGCCUCUCUCUCUCUCUCUGCCUCUCUCUCUGUCUCUAUGAAUGAAUAAAUAAAAUCUU